rnacentral:rRNA from 1 species
GGGUUGUGAGGUUAAGCGACUAAGCGUACACGGUGGAUGCCCUGGCAGUCAGAGGCGAUGAAGGACGUGCUAAUCUGCGAUAAGCGCCGGUAAGGUGAUAUGAACCGUUAUAACCGGCGAUUUCCGAAUGGGGAAACCCAGUGUGACUCGUCACACUAUCAUUAACUGAAUCCAUAGGUUAAUGAGGCGAACCGGGGGAACUGAAACAUCUAAGUACCCCGAGGAAAAGAAAUCAACCGAGAUUCCCCCAGUAGCGGCGAGCGAACGGGGAGGAGCCCAGAGCCUGAAUCAGCAUGU